AGAGUUGAUCCUGGCUCAGGACGAACGCUGGCGGCGUGCUUAACACAUGCAAGUCGAACGGUGAAGGGAUCAGGCUUGCUGGUUCUGGAUGAGUGGCGAACGGGUGAGUAACACGUGAGUAACCUGCCCCUUCUUCUGGAUAACCGCAGUGAAAGUGUGGCUAAUACGGGAUAUUCUGCGCCUGCUGCAUGGUGGGUGUGGGAAAGAUAUUGUUUCGGUGGGGGAUGGGCUCGCGGGCCUAUCAGCUUGUUGGUGGGGUGAUGGGCCUACCAAGGCGGUGACGGGUAGCCGGCCUGGAGAGGGUGGACGGUCACCACUGGGACUGAGACACGGCCCAGACUCCUACGGGAGGCAGCA
rnacentral:rRNA from 1 species